CUGGAGUGCCUGUUCCUCGAGGUCACGACGCAUCUUCUGGAUCUCGGCCUCCCGCUUCUUGUUAAGCUCCACUUGGGCCGCUGUCUGGCCGCCCUGCUCAUCAAGAGCUUCAGCGAUGUCUUCAAGCUCACGGACCUGUUCUGCCUUUCGGCUUCAAGUUCCUCUUCCAGCUCCUCAAUGCGGGCCUGGAGCUCCUUGAUCUUGCGCUGAAGCUGGGCCACAAGUCCCUGCUCCUCCUCAAGCUUCUGGUUCAGGGUCUUGAUCUCAUUCUCCUUCCUGGAGCACGGGCGGCGUUAAGCAGAGGCUUCACCUUGACGUAAAGUUUCCACCAUUGCCAGUUCCUCAUUGCCAUCCACUUCCUAAUGUUCCUCUGGAUCCUCUCAAGAGCAGACCUAACCAAAUGAUGAACAUGCAAGUAUUAGUAAGUGGUUAAAAACAUCAAUAUAUUUUUAUUUGACAAACUUUAAUCUUUGUAAAACUUAAAUAAGAAUACUAGAUGUCGUUACAAACAAUUGAGCAACUUUCGAUUUUAUUACCUUUGGUCAUGGAGCUUUUUGUACUGCAUCCUCAUGAGGGCACCUCUGAUGUGUGCCUGGAACAGACAUACAAUGCCGGACAGACGUUCAUCACGCAUGUCUUCAAGGUUUCCCAAGACACCGGCUUUGAAGAAGA